UACGUAGGGUACGAGCGUUAAUCGGAAUUACUGGGCGUAAAGCGUGCGCAGGCGGUUCGCCAAGUCAGGUGUGAAAUCCCCGGGCUUAACCUGGGAAUUGCGCUUGAAACUAGCGGGCUUGAGUGUGGCAGAGGGGGGUGGAAUUCCACGUGUAGCGGUGAAAUGCGCAGAUAUCAGGAGGAACACCAAUGGCGAAGGCAGCUCGCUGGAACGGUACUGACGCUGAGGCGCGAAAGCGUGGGGAGCGAACAGG
rnacentral:rRNA from 1 species